UACGGGGGGGCAAGCGUUGUUCGGAAUUACUGGGCGUAAAGGGCUCGUAGGUGGCCAACUAAGUCAGACGUGAAAUCCCUCGGCUUAACCGGGGAACUGCGUCUGAUACUGGAUGGCUUGAGUUCGGGAGAGGGAGUGCGGAAUUCCAGGUGUAGCGGUGAAAUGCGUAGAUAUCGGAGGAACACCGGUGGCGAAGGCGGAUCUCUGGGCCAUUACUGACGCUGAGG
rnacentral:rRNA from 1 species